rnacentral:rRNA from 1 species
AUUGAACGCUGGCGGCAUGCCUUACACAUGCAAGUCGAACGGCAGCACGGGUGCUUGCACCUGGUGGCGAGUGGCGAACGGGUGAGUAAUACAUCGGAACAUGUCCUGUAGUGGGGGAUAGCCCGGCGAAAGCCGGAUUAAUACCGCAUACGAUCUAUGGAUGAAAGCGGGGGACCUUCGGGCCUCGCGCUAUAGGGUUGGCCGAUGGCUGAUUAGCUAGUUGGUGGGGUAAAGGCCUACCAAGGCGACGAUCAGUAGCUGGUCUGAGAGGACGACCAGCCACACUGGGACUGAGACACGGCCCAGACUCCUACGGGAGGCAGCAGUGGGGAAUUUUGGACAAUGGGCGAAAGCCUGAUCCAGCAAUGCCGCGUGUGUGAAGAAGGCCUUCGGGUUGUAAAGCACUUUUGUCCGGAAAGAAAUCCUUGGUUCUAAUAUAGCCGGGGGAUGACGGUACCGGAAGAAUAAGCACCGGCUAACUACGUGCCAGCAGCCGCGGUAAUACGUAGGGUGCGAGCGUUAAUCGGAAUUACUGGGCGUAAAGCGUGCGCAGGCGGUUUGCUAAGACCGAUGUGAAAUCCCCGGGCUCAACCUGGGAACUGCAUUGGUGACUGGCAGGCUAGAGUAUGGCAGAGGGGGGUAGAAUUCCACGUGUAGCAGUGAAAUGCGUAGAGAUGUGGAGGAAUACCGAUGGCGAAGGCAGCCCCCUGGGCCAAUACUGACGCUCAUGCACGAAAGCGUGGGGAG